GUGAAUCAUCGAAUCUUUGAACGCAAAUUGCACUCUCUGGCAUUCCGGAGAGUAUGCCUGUUUGAGGGUCAGUAUAAUCAAAAUCUGAGCGAUGCUUUUUGGGUGACGUACCGAAGUUUGGGUCAUCUUAACUCUUUUUUUUAAGAGACCUAAAAUUAACAUUCUUUUUUGCGUACUUUGAUACGUACAAAUUUUUUUUUAUUCGUCUACCCUGUUGUCAAAAAUUUUUCUACAUCGUGAAUUAC
rnacentral:misc_RNA from 1 species